ensembl:snRNA U6 U6 spliceosomal RNA
GCACUCCCUUCAGCAGCACGUGUACUAGAAGUGGAACGACACAGAGAAGACUAACACGGCCCUGUGAAAGGACGACACGAAACCCGUGAAGUGCUCCACAUUUUU